GCAACCCCUCGAGAGUGGCGAACGGGUGAGUAAUAUAUCGGAACGUGCCCAGUCGUGGGGGAUAACGUAGCGAAAGUUACGCUAAUACCGCAUACGAUCUACGGAUGAAAGCGGGGGACUCGCAAGAGCCUCGCGCGAUUGGAGCGGCCGAUAUCAGAUUAGGUAGUUGGUGGGGUAAAGGCUCACCAAGCCAACGAUCUGUAGCUGGUCUGAGAGGACGACCAGCCACGCUGGAACUGAGACACGGUCCAGACUCCUACGGGAGGCAGCAGUGGGGGAUUUUGGACAAUGGACGCAAGUCUGAUCAGCCAUUCCGCGUGCAGGAUGAAGGCCCUCGGGUUGUAAACUGCUUUUGUACGGAACGAAAAGGUCUCUAUUAAUACUAGGGGCUCAUGACGGUACCGUAAGAAUAAGCACCGGCUAACUACGUGCCAGCAGCCGCGGUAAUACGUAGGGUGCAAGCGUUAAUCGGAAUUACUGGGCGUAAAGCGUGCGCAGGCGGUUAUGUAAGACAGAGGUGAAAUCCCCGGGCUCAACCUGGGAACUGCCUUUGUGACUGCAUAGCUAGAGUACGGUAGAGGGGGAUGGAAUUCCGCGUGUAGCAGUGAAAUGCGUAGAUAUGCGGAGGAACACCGAUGGCGAAGGCAAUCCCCUGGACCUGUACUGACGCUCAUGCACGAAAGCGUGGGGAGCAAACAGG
rnacentral:rRNA from 1 species